CUGGGAUUAGAUACCCCACUAUGCCUAGCCUUAAACACAAAUAGUUAUGUAAACAAAACUAUUCGCCAGAGUACUACCGGCAAUAGCUUAAAACUCAAAGGACUUGGCGGUGCUUUAUACCCUUCUAGAGGAGCCUGUUCUAUAAUCGAUAAACCCCGAUAAACCUCACCAUUCCUUGCUACUACAGUCUAUAUACCGCCAUCUUCAGCAAACCCUAAAAAGGUACAAAAGUAAGCACAAUCAUAAUACAUAAAAACGUUAGGUCAAGGUGUAACCUAUGGAACGGAAAGAAAUGGGCUACAUUUUCUAAUCUAAGAAAAUCCAACACGAAAGUUAUUAUGAAACUAAUAACCAAAGGAGGAUUUAGCAGUAAACUAAGAAUAGAGUGCUUAGUUGAAUUAGGCCAUGAAGCACGCACACACCGCCCGUCACCCUCCUCAAGUAGGUACAAUACACUCAAACUUAUUUACACGUAUUAAUCAUAUGAGAGGAGAUAAGUCGUAACAAGGUAAGCAUACUG
rnacentral:rRNA from 1 species